GUUAGGACAAGGACUAACACAAAGGGUUACGCAGCCCUUCAAACCAAGCGUGGUCCGAGGGUUAGGGGGUUCGGCCUCCGCUGACUGACACAGAGCUUGCUUAAAAGACGACGGAACGAAGAAUCAUCUCCUGCAGGGCCCGCACUGACAGGGACUGUUCCAGCACAAAGGUACAGAUGCAUAGGUCUGGAGGGACACACUGCAGCAACAGAACAGAGCGGCUCAGAUGCAGAAGAAUUUCUUGAUCUGGAUAAAACACUCAUCUCACCCAAGUGGAAAAUGCCUUGGCUAAGGAUGGAUACAGUACCUAUUGGUAUUGUCCCACUUGUUAAAACUCUUGGGAACCAUAAAGGUACUGUACUUUGUGUUAAAGUACCAAAAGGGUGAAGACAUGACCGACUGAAUGACUUUGGUAAAAAAUGGGUUUCAUUCUUGAAAUAA